GACGAACGCUGGCGGUGUGCUUAACACAUGCAAGUCGAGCGGUAAGGCCCUUUCGGGGGUACACGAGCGGCGAACGGGUGAGUAACACGUGGGUGACCUGCCCUUAGCUCUGGGAUAAGCCUGGGAAACUGGGUCUAAUACCGGAUAUGACUCCAUGACGCAUGUUGUGGGGUGGAAAGCCUUGUGCGGCUAGGGAUGGGCCCGCGGCCUAUCAGCUUGUUGGUGGGGUGANGGCCUACCAAGGCGACGACGGGUAGCCGGCCUGAGAGGGCGACCGGCCACACUGGGACUGAGACACGGCCCAGACUCCUACGGGAGGCAGCAGUGGGGAAUCUUGCGCAAUGGGCGAAAGCCUGACGCAGCGACGCCGCGUGGGGAUGACGGCCUC
rnacentral:rRNA from 1 species